rnacentral:rRNA from 1 species
GCUUACACAUGCAAGUCGAACGGGAUCCAUCAGGCUUUGCUUGGUGGUGAGAGUGGCGAACGGGUGAGUAAUGCGUGACCGACCUGCCCCAUACACCGGAAUAGCUCCUGGAAACGGGUGGUAAUGCCGGAUGUUCCAGUUGAUCGCAUGGUCUUCUGGGAAAGCUUUCGCGGUAUGGGAUGGGGUCGCGUCCUAUCAGCUUGACGGCGGGGUAACGGCCCACCGUGGCUUCGACGGGUAGCCGGCCUGAGAGGGCGACCGGCCACAUUGGGACUGAGAUACGGCCCAGACUCCUACGGGAGGCAGCAGUGGGGAAUAUUGCACAAUGGGCGCAAGCCUGAUGCAGCGACGCCGCGUGAGGGAUGGAGGCCUUCGGGUUGUAAACCUCUUUUAUCGGGGAGCAAGCGAGAGUGAGUUUACCCGUUGAAUAAGCACCGGCAU